AGAGUUUGAUCAUGGCUCAGGACGAACGCUGGCGGCGUGCCUAACACAUGCAAGUCGAACGGGAUCCAUGCCAUGAAGUUUUCGGAUGGAUUGGUGUGGUGAGAGUGGCGAACGGGCGAGUAACGCGUGAGCAACCUACCUCGUACUGGGGGAUAACGUCGGGAAACCGGCGCUAAUACCGCAUAAGACUACGAUGUCGCAUGGCGUUGUAGUCAAAGCUCCGGCGGUACGAGACGGGCUCGCGUCCGAUUAGCUAGUUGGUAGGGUAACGGCCUACCAAGGCGACGAUCGGUAGCCGGACUGAGAGGUCGGCCGGCCGCAUUGGGACUGAGACACGGCCCAGACUCCUACGGGAGGCAGCAGUGGGGAAUAUUGCGCAAUGGGGGAAACCCUGACGCAGCGACGCCGCGUGAAGGAAGAAGGCCUUCGGGUUGUAAACUUCUUUGGCAGGGGACGAAGAAAGACGGUACCCUGAGAACAAGCCACGGCUAGCUACGUGCCAGCAGCCGCGGUAAUACGUAGGUGGCGAGCGUUGUCCGGAAUUACUGGGCGUAAAGGGCGUGUAGGCGGGGGGACAAGUCAGAUGUGAAAUACCGCAGCUUAACUGCGGGGCUGCAUCUGAAACUGUUCUUCUUGAGUGUCGGAGAGGAAAGUGGAAUUCCCAGUGUAGCGGUGAAAUGCGUAGAGAUUGGGAGGAACACCAGUGGCGAAGGCGGCUUUCUGGACGACAACUGACGCUGAGGCGCGAAAGCGUGGGGAGCAAACAGGAUUAGAUACCCUGGUAGUCCACGCUGUAAACGAUGGAUACUAGGUGUAGGAGGUAUCGACCCCUUCUGUGCCGGAGUUAACACAAUAAGUAUCCCGCCUGGGGAGUACGGCCGCAAGGUUGAAACUCAAAUGAAUUGACGG
rnacentral:rRNA from 1 species